UACAGAGGUGGCAAGCGUUGUUCGGAAUUACUGGGCGUAAAGCGCGCGUAGGCGGCCCUGUAAGUCCGUUGUGAAAGUCAAAGGCUCAACCUUUGAAAGCCGAUGGAUACUGGGGCUAGAGUCCGGAAGAGGCGAGUGGAAUUCCUGGUGUAGCGGUGGAAUGCGCAGAUAUCAGGAGGAACACCAAUAGCGAAGGCAGCUCGCUGGGACGGUACUGACGCUAAGGCGCGAAAGCGUGGGGAGCGAACAGG
rnacentral:rRNA from 1 species